rnacentral:rRNA from 1 species
AUUGAACGCUGGCGGCAUGCUUUACACAUGCAAGUCGAACGGUAACAGGUCUUCGGAUGCUGACGAGUGGCGUACGGGUGUGUAAUACAUCGGAACGUGCCUAGUAGUUGGGGAUAACUACUCGAAAGAGUAGCUAAUACCGCAUGAGAUCUACGGAUGAAAGCAGGGGACCUUCGGGCCUUGUGCUACUAGAGCUGCUGAUGGCAGAUUAGUUAGUUGUUGGGGUAAAGGCUUUCCAAGCCUGCGAUCUGUAGCUGGUCUGAGAGGACGACCAGCCAAACUGAGACUGAGACACGGCCCAGACUCCUACGGGAGGCAGCAGUGGGGAAUUUUGGACAAAGGGCGAAAGCCUGAUCCAGCAAUGCCGCGUGCAGGAUGAAGGCCCUCGGGUUGUAAAAUGCUUUUGUACGGAACGAAAAGCCUGGGGCUAAUAUCCCCGGGUCAUGACGGUACCGUAAGAAUAAGCACCGGCUAACUACGUG